GUAUCCUCUACUAUGGUUUGAAAAUUAUUUAGAAUCUUGGGAUUGUCCUGGGUCUCUCUAAAUGCUAAUGAUCACCAAUGAGUUUGACAAAUAGAGAUGUUACAAGUGAUUGGUUUAAAUCUUUGAUGCACCUUAAAUGUAUUUUAAAAUGUGCCCCUAACUCUUUAUUUUACCUGACUGUAUUUCAGUGCAUCAGUUUAAGGGAAGACAUGAGAUCAUGGGUUUAAGUGAGGCUUCAUCAUACUAAGACAACGUGAUCAGGAUGGGGGUCGCAGACUCUGUACUUCCAGGAGAAGCCCCCGGAAGGUCUUAGCUGGCUCCUGAGGGGGCACAUUUGCUGUGCUCAUUGCACUUUACCUGGUGUCAUGAAGCAUAAAGAGCACAAACUUGGACACCAAGAGUCUACAUUAAAGUCCCACUCCUUUAUGUUUAAGGACAUAUUUGCUUCCCCUUCUGCCAUGAUUGUAAGUUUCCUGAGGCCCCCACAGCCAUGCGGAACUGUGAG